AUGGCUCCUGGAAGGAGUUAUCUCUGAGUCAUGAGGCAAGACUUUGAUGGGCCUGUUAACAGGAGAUAAAGAAAAAAACCAAUGCCCCUCCUGGUUUCAGCAGCUCUUGAGGAUGGGAAUAGAAUAUCUAGUAGUAGUAGGUUACCUAUUGUAACCUAGGACAGAAGUCAAACACCAACUCAAGAGUCAGAGCACAUAACUCCCUAAAAUAACCCAGGAGUGUUGUGCCAGCUACAGCCACAGAGAUCAGUGACAUGGGGACACAAACUCCAGACCUGACCAGUAAAACAGCACUUUUUGCAACAGAUUUUCUGCAAGAGCACCUCCAUCCUCACAGCGUUUGGUACUCCUGGUGAUGACACCCAGUGCAACAUAGAAAGCCCACAGUCUGUCCUGGUCCAGGGCUGCAUCUGACCUCUGUACGAUACUUGUCACAAAAGUAAGGGUGAGGUGAA